GAUGAACGCUGGCGGCGUGCUUAACACAUGCAAGUCGAACGGAAAGGCCCAAGCUUGCUUGGGUGCUCGAGUGGCGAACGGGUGAGUAACACGUGGGUGAUCUGCCCUGCACUUUGGGAUAAGCCUGGGAAACUGGGUCUAAUACCGGAUAGGACCAUCGUUUAGUGUCGGUGGUGGAAAGUUUUUCGGUGUGGGAUGAGCUCGCGGCCUAUCAGCUUGUUGGUGGGGUAAUGGCCUACCAAGGCGUCGACGGGUAGCCGGCCUGAGAGGGUGUACGGCCACAUUGGGACUGAGAUACGGCCCAGACUCCUACGGGAGGCAGCAGUGGGGAAUAUUGCACAAUGGGCGCAAGCCUGAUGCAGCGGCGCCGCGUGGGGGAUGACGGCCUUCGGGUUGUAAACUCCUUUCGCCAAGGACGAAGCGUUUUGUGACGGUACUUGGAGAAGAAGCACCGGCUAACUACGUG
rnacentral:rRNA from 1 species